CAUCAUCCCACCUGGACCCACAAGCGGGCUGGUGCCAGGUCUGAUAGCUGCUGGCAUUUUCAUCAUGUUCCUGCUCUGCCUGUACACAAUCCUAUGGAAAUGCAUGGUGUCACCACCAAAUAGCAGGAAGAGAAAGAAACGCAACGUGACCAGCCCUCCUUCCCGGAAGACUCUCGUUGUAUGAUUGUGAAUUACCAACAUGCAGGACCUUGACUGCCUCAGCCCACAUAGUGCCAAUUCCAGCUCUGCAGACUGGC